rnacentral:ncRNA from 1 species
AAAGUCCCGGUCGGGCAAGGGCCAGCCACCCACCCGUAUCGAGUGUUGGUCCGGUUGCGGACUUUGUGCCCUGCGAACAGAAAGCCGGGCAAGCGUACACAGAGAAUCCUGUAGGCCGUAGGGGUGGUCGCGCACCCUGAAGUGCGCCUCGUGCGGAUCAGGGCAGCUUCGAGAAAGCUAACCCGCGGAUGGCGACAGUGUUAACGUCCUGGAAGCCAACAUGAAGCACGCGCUAAGGGCGAGCGUGCGGAUGUCCGCCGGAGUCC